ensembl:lncRNA
AAUUCCCUCUCAUUGAAUUGAUUACAUCUUUCACUCAUUUGCUCUUCUGCCCAACCCUGCAUAUAAUAACCUGACAACCAAGGCUAUACUCCAUGCAAACAACAAAGUGGGUGGAAUUAUUGAAAUCUUAUGCUAAAUAAACUGUGUUAGUCUUUAAGGUGUCACAUGACUCUUCUAUUUUUGCAGCAAAAGACAAACACAGUUACCACCCCUGGAAAUUGAUUCAAGACUUCUGGCAUCCUUUAAGAUCCCAAACUUCCUACCUGGGCUAAACACAUUCUCCAGCUGUCAAUUAUUGGCCAAAUCCUGCAAUAAGGAAAGGUGGGGCAGCUGAUAGAUUUAAUGCAUAUUGAUUUAAAACAGUUUAAAGCCUAUUUAAUAAAAAGCAAAAGACACAGUUUGUAAAACACUACAACAACUCGUUCCUUGUCAAGGAAUCAGCUCCUUCAGUUCCUGUUGGAAUAAAACAGUCUUCAUCUUCUAGGGCAGCAAAAAGCUCACCUGGAAUACUGUAUCCAUUUCUGGGCACUUCAAUUCAAGAAUGAUAUUGAAAAGCUGGAUGGUGUGCAGAGGAGGAUAGUAAAGUUGAUCAAAGGUUUAAAAACCAAGUCACCACCAACAGGCAGGGGUGCCUGGACAGCAUCCAGUUGCUCUUCUACAGCCAGGAAAAAGAGCAAGCAUCGCCUUCUGGAUCUCUGGAGAUUCAGGAAGGUGAUGGCUAUUCCUUUCUUUUCACUGCAGAACAGAAACUGGAGACCACCUGAGUACCUGCAUCCUCAUCUAGCCCAUGAAUGGUUGCCCCUUGCCCAGAUACUAAAUCACCAUAAUGUAAAGCUGCCUUCUGUGCAGAGGGGAGAUUUUGCCAAAGAAGGCACUGGACUUGUCCUUCUCCAAAGAAACACAUGCUGAGUAAUACCUGGUUACAUCGGCAUGUAUUCCAGCCAUAGACUCCUGAAAUGCUGUUUGGAAUCCUUCCUUUUCUAUGUUCUAUGCAAGGAAUUCACGGCCCCAGUCAGCCUUGCACUUUGACAUGCAAGCAAGGGUUCAGUACAUGGUUACUUUAAUUUCAUCUAAAUAACUCCUCUCAUCUGAAAGGAAUCUAUAUCAACAGAACAAGGCUAAGGUUUUCAUAUCUUUUGGUCUGAUUCUCCAGAUGAGUGAGUCAAGUAGAAAUGUUUGUAGGAACUUCUGUAAUCAUUCCUUUUGCAUUCCCUUUAUAGCUUUGGAUCAUGUCAUGAAAAUACACAUUGUAUUUAUAUUUCACAGCAAUCUGUCACUGCAAUGUCAUAAUCAGUUCUGCUCCAUGCUGUCAUUUGACUUUAGGAACUCUGAAUAAAAGUCUCUUGCUAAUAUUUAACCCAUGAGUGUCUAUUACCUGUUAUUUGGAAACCAGGAAAUGUAAUUCAGGAAUAACAACAGGGGUGAUAAUUGAGAGGUCAAACCAAGAGAUGAAUUCAAAGUCAGGGAAUGUGGAGAAUCAGAAAGCAAAGCAUCCAGAAUCAGCGAACAUUUUUCUAGUCCAGGCCAAGUCCCAGUCUGAACAGGAAACCUUUACACUUUAUUCUCUGUCAAUGGCUUGGGCCAUUCUUUGACAAGGCUUGAGGCAGGGCACAGCAUAGACAAUGUGCAAUAUAUAAGUAAAAUACAUACCAUCAUUUAAAACACAUAGAUUUAAAACAUAUUUAUUUAUUUAUUAUUUAUAAAACAUAAAAUCACUAUGGUAGUUAUAUAUUUGUAAUUGUUCUUCCUAUUCUAGCCAAUUUUCCCAGUUUCUGGAUGGUAAGAAUCACCAGUUUGUGGAACAAAAUACUCUCCCAUCCACCUUAUUGCUGUUUUGACAAAGUAUUUUUUUUAAAAAAAAAAUCAUAGUUUUUAGAAUUCAGCAAUAACAAGUAAGCAAGCCCCACUACUCAAUCCCACAUAAAAUUAGCAAUAUAAUUAUAACAAUAUCACAAAUACAAUGUAAUACAUACGUUAUCAAAUUCGCUAUAAAUAAUUUAUCUAUCCAGCCAUCUGCAUAUGAUGUCUGCUUUUUGUUGCACUUGUCCUUCUGUAAUUUAUUACUAUCUGCUAUGCUAAAAUCUAGCUGAUUAGUUGGAGCUCCAUCUUCAAGAUUCAAUUCUUGAAAAUACCUUAAAAUGUAUAUGAAAUUUUCUCCUUUCAUUCACCUUGCUGCUGUCUUGAUAAAAUAAAAGGCAGGUUUUGAUACAUGUUAUAGUCCUCCAUUACCAUUUUGUGAGACCACAUCCCUGUAAUUAUGAAAGGAAUUAAAUAUUCAGCAGUACUAUGAAAGAAGUGAAGUUAUUAUAAAGUUAUGUAGUUGUAAUGUAGUUGUAAGUUUACUAGAAAGAUAGGAAUUAAUUACACAUUUUGGUAACUUACUCUUUUCAAGAUAUGCAAAAGACAAAAUGUGGUUGGAUUUCCAUGCUGAAGAAAUAGGUUCACCAUUGCAUGACUAAUACUCUACACUCAGCCUGGCUUCACAAUCUGAUGGUGUGCUCAGUAUAUUCACAAGAACUUGCGA